GGAGGGUGCAAGCGUUAUCCGGAUUUAUUGGGUUUAAAGGGUCCGUAGGCGGAUCCGUAAGUCAGUGGUGAAAUCUCAUAGCUUAACUAUGAAACUGCCAUUGAUACUGCGGGUCUUGAGUGAGAUUGAGGUAGCUGGAAUAAGUAGUGUAGCGGUGAAAUGCAUAGAUAUUACUUAGAACACCAAUUGCGAAGGCAGGUUACCAAGUCUUAACUGACGCUGAUGGACGAAAGCGUGGGGAGCGAACAGGAUUAGAUACCCUGGUAGUCCACGCCGUAAACGAUGCUAACUCGUUUUUGGGGCUUUGGCUUCAGAGACUAAGCGAAAGUGAUAAGUUAGCCACCUGGGGAGUACGUUCGCAAGAAUG
rnacentral:rRNA from 1 species